GAUGAACGCUGGCGGAGUGCUUAACACAUGCAAGUCGAACGAAGAACUCUAUUUGAUUUUCUUCGGACAUGAAGAUUUUGUGACUGAGUGGCGGACGGGUGAGUAACGCGUGGGUAACCUGCCUCAUACAGGGGGAUAACAGUCGGAAACGACUGCCAAUACCGCAUAAGCGCACAGUAUUGCAUGAUCCAGUGUGAACAACUCCGGUGUUAUGAGAGGGACCCGCGUCUGAUUAGCUAGUUGGUGGGGCAACGGACUACCAAGGCGACGAUCAGGCGCCGACCUGAGAGGGUGACCGGCCACAUUGGGACUGAGACACGGCCCAGACGCCUACGGUAGGCAGCAGUGGGGAAGGUUGCACAAUGGGGGAUACCCUGAUGCAGCGACGCCGCGUGAACGAAGAAGUAUUUCGGUAUGUAAAGUUCUAUCAGCAGGGAAGAUAAUGACGUUACCUGACUAAGAAGCACCGGCUAAAUACGAGCCAGCCGCCGCCGUAA
rnacentral:rRNA from 1 species